AUUGGACGCUGGCGGCAGGCCUAACACAUGCAAGUCGGACGGUAGCACAGAGGAGCUUGCUCCUUGGGUGACGAGUGGCGGACGGGUGAGUAAUGUCUGGGGAUCUGCCCGAUAGAGGGGGAUAACCACUGGAAACGGUGGCUAAUACCGCAUAACGUCGCAAGACCAAAGAGGGGGACCUUCGGGCCUCUCACUAUCGGAUGAACCCAGAUGGGAUUAGCUAGUAGGCGGGGUAAUGGCCCACCUAGGCGACGAUCCCUAGCUGGUCUGAGAGGAUGACCAGCCACACUGGAACUGAGACACGGUCCAGACUCCUACGGGAGGCAGCAGUGGGGAAUAUUGCACAAUGGGCGCAAGCCUGAUGCAGCCAUGCCGCGUGUAUGAAGAAGGCCUUCGGGUUGUAAAGUACUUUCAGCGGGGAGGAAGGCGAUAAGGUUAAUAACCUUGUCGAUUGACGUUACCCGCAGAAGAAGCACCGGCUAACUCCGUGCCAGCAGCCGCGGUAAUACGGAGGGUGCAAGCGUUAAUCGGAAUUACUGGGCGUAAAGCGCACGCAGGCGGUCUGUCAAGUCGGAUGUGAAAUCCCCGGGCUCAACCUGGGAACUGCAUUCGAAACUGGCAGGCUUGAGUCUCGUAGAGGGGGGUAGAAUUCCAGGU
rnacentral:rRNA from 1 species